rnacentral:rRNA from 1 species
UCGCACCAACCGAUUGAAUGGUUCGGUGAAGAAUCUGGACACAUGAAAAGGAUGAUUCAGUUCGUCUUUUUUGAGUGGAAAUUUUCUAAACCUAACUCUUUAGAGGAUGGUG